rnacentral:rRNA from 1 species
UACGUAGGGGGCAAGCGUUGUCCGGAUUUAUUGGGCGUAAAGAGCGUGUAGGCGGCCAGACAGGUCCGUUGUGAAAACUCGAGGCUCAACCUCGAGAUGUCGGUGGAAACCGUCUGGCUAGAGUCCGGAAGAGGAGAGUGGAAUUCCCGGUGUAGCGGUGAAAUGCGCAGAUAUCAGGAGGAACACCGAUGGCGAAGGCAGGUCUCUGGGCCACUACUGACGCUGAGAAGCGAAAGCAUGGGGAGCGAACAGG